UUAUGCACUCCGCCUGGGGAAGUACGGUCGCAGGAUGAAACUCAAAGGAAUUGACGGGGGCCCGCACAAGCGGUGGAGCAUGUGGUUUAAUUCGAAGCAACGCGAAGAACCUUACCUGGGUUUGAACUUAACUUGUAAGCCUCAGAGAUGAGGUCCCCUCUUCGGAGGCAGGUUGAGAGGUGCUGCAUGGCUGUCGUCAGCUCGUGUCUUGAGAUGUUGGGUUAAGUCCCGCAACGAGCGCAACCCUUACCCAUAGUUACUAACGGGUAAAGCCGAGAACUCUAUGGGGACUGCCGGUGAUAAACCGGAGGAAGGUGGGGAUGACGUCAAGUCCUCAUGGCCUUUAUGUCCAGGGCUACACACGUGCUACAAUGCCCGGUACAAAGAGUUGCGAUCCCGCGAGGGGGAGCUAAUCUCAAAAAACCGGGCUCAGUUCGGAUUGCACUCUGCAACUCGAGUGCAUGAAGCUGGAAUCGCUAAUAAUCGCGGAUCAGCAUGCCGCGGUGAAUACGUCCCGGGCCUUGUACACACCGCCCGUCACAUCACGAAAGUCGGUUGCACUAGAAUCGUGGGCUAACCCUAACGGGGGCAGCCGCCUAAAGUGUGAUCGGUAAUUGGGGUGAAAUCGUAACAAGGUA
rnacentral:rRNA from 1 species